rnacentral:snRNA from 1 species
UAAGGUAGCCAAAUGCCUCG